UACGGGGGGGGCAAGCGUUGUUCGGAAUUAUUGGGCGUAAAGGGCGCGUAGGCGGUUUGUUAAGUCGGCUGUGAAAGCCCGGGGCUCAACCCCGGAGGGUCAGCCGAUACUGGCAGACUAGAGUACGGAAGAGGUAGCUGGAAUUCCCGGUGUAGCGGUGAAAUGCGUAGAUAUCGGGAAGAACACCCGUGGCGAAGGCGGCUCUCUGGGACGGUACUGACGCUGAGACGCGAAAGCGUGGGGAGCGAACAGG
rnacentral:rRNA from 1 species